rnacentral:rRNA from 1 species
GGCUCAGAUUGAACGCUGGCGGCAUGCUUUACACAUGCAAGUCGAACGGUAACAGGUCUUCGGAUGCUGACGAGUGGCGAACGGGUGAGUAAUGUAUCGGAACGUGCCCAGUAGUGGGGAUAACUACUCGAAAGAGUGGCUAAUACCGCAUGAGAACUGAGGUUGAAAGCGGGGACCUUCGGGCCUCGCGCUACUGGAGCGGCCGAUAUCAGAUUAGGUAGUUGGUGGGGUAAAGGCCUACCAAGCCGACGAUCUGUAGCUGGUCUGAGAGGACGACCAGCCACACUGGGACUGAGACACGGCCCAGACUCCUACGGGAGGCAGCAGUGGGGAAUUUUGGACAAUGGACGCAAGUCUGAUCCAGCAAUGCCGCGUGCAGGACGAAGGCCUUCGGGUUGUAAACUGCUUUUGUACAGAACGAAAAGGCUCUGGUUAAUACCUGGGGCUCAUGACGGUACUGUAAGAAUAAGCACCGGCUAACUACGUG